UCUCUCUUUUCAACUGAAUCAAGGCUGUCAGUCACAUCAGCCCUUGAAUUCUCAGCGCAGAGCUCUACAUCUGCCUCUCCGCAGCACAGAGAAGCUGGCAAGGCGGUAACAUACGUAUAAGGUAGAUUUAAAAGCGUUUUCACUUAAAUGGAUUUGAUUUUAUCAUUCUAGGUGACCUUCACUUCCCAACACGUUGCUCUUAUCGGGCGCAUUGUCGUUGUUAAGAGAAGUGGGAUUCAACCAUUCUGACAAAGUUAAGGGGAAAACUCUGGGUUUGGAAUAUUUUGGGUUUUGCUCUAAGCAUUAGACCAUUUUUCCUUCGCUCCUUUAUUUACAGGGAAAUAUUUGAUACCACCCUGAUAAAAGUGCAAUGCCAACUUAGCGUUAAAAUCCAGAACCCAAAGUAGAUCAAUCUUACAAUUUCUCUUUUAACUUUAGACUUGUCAGGCUCUAUUAUUCUCAAUAUAGUUUGACAGUUCUAGGUUAAAAAGACAUCAAUUACCUUUCAAAAUUACCCUCGCCACUGUAAGAUUAGCUCUAUUUCUGCUGACUUUGGAAGUUUGUUGUGCGUAGUAGAUAUUUUGGAGGCGGGGAGAGCCUCAAAAUGCUUCAUAUAACCAUUUUAUUGCCCUUGACUGGCUGCCUUGGUAACAGCCGUGGCCCUUGGCUGCAACCGCGUCCUACUCCAUCUUGACCACAUUAGGCAGAUGGUUUAAUUAUUAAGAGAAACUGGUUUGUGUGGGUUUACUGGUGCCAUUUCGCUACUCUUGCAAUGUUUGCAAGCUUGUAAGUUUGGUAUUUUUAUAUUGCACUUAUUCUAUUAAAGAUGCAAAAAUUGAGUCGGUCCCAAAGACUGUCACUUCUGUAAAAAUACAGGCAGUUCUGUUAUGUGCUAUGCAGGCAGUCACUGUCCUGUUGCAUAGGUGUCUGCAGGGCUUCGGAAUUUUCUCUUCCCCAUUGCAAUGUGACCAAGACCUUUGCAAGUCUUUCGUUUUUUUUUUUUUUUUUUUUUGGGCGGGGGGGGCGGGUUAAAAAAAAAAAAGAAAAGUAAAAUCAGUGGAGAGCAGGAGAGGAGGGGAAUGGGCUUCUCCAGGGCAUGGUUCAACAUUCCUCCAGUGCCUUCUGGAGGAACAUCCCUCUAGUGCAGCUCCUGUGCCUGAAAUGGCUUUAUUAAUCAAUACCCCUCUGCUUCUGGGGGUACUCUGGGCAGAUAACAGCGAGAAAACUUCAGAUUUUGUUUAUAACAAGUGAUUAGUUGAAGAGGUCUGGGUUUGAGCAAACACCAGAUGUUCUCAUGUUCCCCCGUUCCAAUGACUGCAUUUAUUUGCCCGGUAUCUAACACGUUGUGCUCUUACAACCUCCCCUCUCCUUCCCGAACGUAGUCAGCUUUUGUGCAUGUUUUCAGUGGCAGUGGAUGAAUUGAUACUAGAAAUGUCGCAAUUUAAUUUAUAACUAGAAAAUAGAGAAUGUGACUGCAAAGCAAAUACUGUGACCCAACAACAGAACUGCCCUAGAUUUUCACAUCUUGUUUUGAAAUUUUAUGACAGCCUUAUUGCCCAAGGGUACAACAUAAUCACUUCGCAGUUCACUGAUACGCUUUCUUUUAGCAUCUGUACUAAAUGCGUUUUUAUCCCUGCUGCAUGUAAGAGCAGUUUUUAAUGCUUCAGAUGCAAAGAAAAAAAACCCGUCUCAAAGUGCAUCAUGGCUAGCAUUGCAUUCAUUUUAAUUCCAAAUGUAAAUAUGCUUUGAAAAUUAACAAUCUUUCCACCCCCUCACCCCCCCAAAUUCUUCAUUGAUGAUACUGUUUUUCUGUCUUUCAUAAGCAUUAGCCCUGGAUAACAUCGUCAGCGCUUACCCUAUUGCGAUAUUUAAUUUACCGAGGAAACUUCUGAAUACGUGAACCGCAGGGUUAUCAUUUGCAAGAGUUACUGUUGGCGCCAGGAGAGGGGUGGGGGGUGCACGGUGUUCCUGGCGUUACGUCAGGUCCGGCAUGGGGCGGUUUGGGUGCUGCGGUAUCGGGCUGACGGGGGCUGACAGCGCAGAGAGCGUAGGCUGUACCUACGUAGUCCUGUUUACAUGUGCGUGCAAAUGAAAUAAAUGGAUGUUGCUCUGUUUUUCCAUUAAAGUGAUAUGUGUAAGGUCUGAAAAUCAGUGUUUCAGACGACUAAAAAUGUAGUCUUUACCCUGAAAGGUGCUUUCAAUGGCACAUUUUUGGGUCGUAUUAAACAGCUUGGUAAAGCAGCUCAGUAGCUGAGUUAAAAGGAGAUGUUCUCCCUUUUACUCUUGUCUCCCCGAGAACCACGCUUGGAUCUUCCAGGAGCCCUUCUUGUGCUCUCUUCCUCUGAAAUCAAACUGCCUUUCCGCUCGCUUUCGAUGAAGCUUUGACCGCGGUUGAGUUCCCGUACACCCCCGCUGCCACGCGCAGCGCUGACGAAGAGCGAAACGGACUCUGCCGACGAUUAGGAACACCGUUCCGGGGGAAGCGGAGAGUCCCGCUGCAUUUGCUGCCGAGAUCCUAUCUGACAUCUCUCUGAAACACAGACGGUACGAAGCGACGCGGUGAGAUAACGUCCCAGGAAGACCUUUUUCUCCUUGUCCCGGCCAGACCUCCGCAGAGCCUCUCUUGCUCUUCCUCCUCCCUUUUCUGGAUGAUAGCUUCGACGCUUGCCGAUGGACCGUUGUGUGUCUCCACAGCGCCCUGGGCUCUCGGCGCCGUGACAGCCUUGGACAGAGGUUACAAACGCGCUGUGCGCCCUGCAUCGUUUCACCUGGCUAUUACCGCGUGCUUCCAAGUCUGUCAUCGAAGAGAGACUUUUAUGUCUCAACAUUUCUGUUUUCUAUUGCCUUGAAUAAAAUAGGACCUUCACAUGCCCAUGACCAGCACUUCAUUUUCUCAUCUUUUCUGGGUGCUUAGAUUAAAUACAUUUAAAAAAAAAAAAAAAAAAAAAUCUGUCAGUGGUUCGCAGUAACUUUUGGGGAAAAAAAUUUCCCAAUUUCCCAGUGUCCUUAAAUUAAUAAGCAGAAGAUAAGUAAUGAAAUAUUGUAUUUGCAUUCAUAGGCAUCUUUUUUUUUUUUUUUACAAAAAUCACAUUGUGGCUUUCACUUACUAGAACUCCAAUUCGGGGAGCAUCACCGAUGCGGGCAGAGCACCACUCUGGAAGCCGCUUUGCUGCAGAUGAAUGCCAGUGACCCUCAUACGCUGAAACAGCUCACAUAGAAGAAGCAGGCCUCCUGUUGCACUACCAGAAAAGCAGUGAAAGUCCAGGUUACUGCCACCGCUACUGAAAUCCUAGAAUUUCCCAUCAUCAUUGAACUUGCAGCCAACUAAAUAUCACCUCAAAAGUCACGAGCUCCCUCCUGGUACUCCUGUCCCAGAAGCUGACUACUGUCUGUUGUAGAAGAAAACAGGAGGAAGACUGAAAAACUGUACUUUCCAAGCCCGUGACCUAAAUGAUGAGUAGAAGAUAUUAAGCCUGGAUUUUAACAUAAGAGCUGACUGCACCCACAGGAGAAAUUAAAGCACAGUGGUGUUUUUUGA